GAGGGUACAGCUCAUUGGUAGAGUGUGUGCUUCGCAUGCAUGAUCCUGGGUUCAAUCCCCAGUACUUCCA
rnacentral:tRNA from 1 species